UACGAAGGGGGCGAGCGUUGUUCGGAUUUACUGGGCGUAAAGGGCGCGCAGGCGGCUAUCCAAGUCAGGCGUGAAAGCCCCGGGCUUAACCUGGGAGGUGCGUCUGGGACUGGGUGGCUAGAGAUCGGGAGAGGAGAGUGGAAUUCCCAGUGUAGAGGUGAGAUUCGUAGAUAUUCGGAAGAACACCAGUGGCGAAGGCGACUUACUGGAUCAUGACUGACGCUGAGGCUCGAAAGCGUGGGGAGCAAACAGG
rnacentral:rRNA from 1 species